GUGCUCACUUCAGCAGCACAUACCCUACAAUCAGAACAGUACCGAGAACACUAGCAUGGCCCCUGAGCGAGGGUGAUGUGCAAAUUUGUGAAGCACUCCUAAUUUUA